UGAGGUCAUUUUAAUAAAUAACUUUAUAUAAUUGCAUCUAUCUUGAUUCAGCUAUCUCCCUGUCUUUAUAAGAGAGCCAAAAAAAUAAAAUAAUAAAAAAAAAGAAGUGCACAACUAGACGGUAGCGGUAAAUUUAAAUCAAGAUUGCAACUACUGAUCAAACUCCUUAACAUGGGCAUCUCACAUACUCAAUUGGAUGUAACAUAAAUGCUUCGAUGUGGCUAAAUGGUUUUUAAAUCUCCAAACUCACCUUUGUAAAUAGUCUUCUUCAGUAAAUGCAGGUCACUUUUUUGGAUACAAUAUUUUAGUGAGAGAGAGAGAGAGGAGAGGAGAGAGAAAUCAUAUAAACAGAAAUAAGAGAAUGCUUGCUAAUUUAUGUAAUGAUAAUUUUUUUAAAAAAAAAAUCAUAGUUGCAAGUACUUCAUUUAUUGAUUGGAUAGUAGACUUCCAUUGGAUACCCAGUCCCAGGGAAUGCAAGGAGAAAAAGAUGAGGUCUGAGAAAAGCUCCAACUACGCGUCCGCUCCCAAAACCCGCAUAAAAAACUCGAAAGUAAAACCAAAGAGAGAGAAUUCAGUACUUAA
rnacentral:lncRNA from 1 species